rnacentral:rRNA from 1 species
CCUACGGGAGGCAGCAGUCGAGAAUCAUUCACAAUGGGCGAAACCCUGAUGCUGCGAAGCCGCGUGGGGGAAUGAAGGUCUUCGGAUUGUACACCCCUGUCAUGUGGGAGCAAAUUAAAAAGAUAGUACCACAAGAGGAAGAGACGGCUAACACUGUGCCAGCAGCCGCGGUACUACGGAGGUCUCACGCGUUGUUCGGAAUCACUGGGCGUAAAGGGUGCGUAGGCUGGUUCGUACGUCGUGUGUGAAAGGCGCGGGCUCAACCAGCGGACUGCACAUGAUACUGGGAGACUAGAGUAAUGGAGGGGGAACCGGAAUGCUUGGUGUAGCAGUGAAAGGCGUAGAUA